AAGGAAUAUUGGACAAUGGGCGGAAGCCUGAUCCAGCCAUGCCGCGUGAAGGAAGAAUGCGCUCAGCGUUGUAAACUUCUUUUGAAUGGGAACAAUAAUCCCGACGUGUCGGGACUUGAGGGUACCAUUAGAAUAAGCACCGGCUAACUCCGUGCCAGCAGCCGCGGUAAUACGGAGGGUGCAAGCGUUAUCCGGAAUCACUGGGUUUAAAGGGUGCGUAGGCGGUUUGAUAAGUCAGUUGUGAAAUUAACCGGCUUAACCGGUAGAACUGCGAUUGAUACUGUCAGACUUGAAUCAGGUUGAGGUAGGCGGAAUGUGGCAUGUAGCGGUGAAAUGCAUAGAUAUGCCAUAGAACACCGAUUGCGAGGGCAGCUUGCUGGACCUAGAUUGACGCUGAGGCACGAAAGCGUGGGGAGCAAAC
rnacentral:rRNA from 1 species